UUCCACUGGAUAUCAUAAGGUGAAUGCACCAUUUUGUAAGUCGCUCUGGAUAAGAGCGUCUGCUAAAUGACUUAAAUGUAAUGUAAAUGUAAUGUUACACACAUCGCUGUUGAUCCACCCACUACUUUUGCAACGCCCACUUUCAGACCCACUCCAGGUAUGAAGUUACCCAUACUUGCUGUCAUUCUCUACAUACUUCAGUCUGAGACUGCCAUCAUUGAAGUUGUUUGUGGUGACGAUAGGCACAAGGGGCAUUGUACAAAACAAAGUAAUCAGCGAUUGGAUCGUCUGUAACCAAUCAAAGCCAAUGACACAUUUUCAAACCCACGUGUUCUAGCUCUGGCUAAACCCAUCGGUUUCUGAACCAAUCAGACAGCCCCGAAUGUGUUCACAUUGGGAGACGGGUCGGGGAGGUACUCAGAUCCAAAGUCAUUGCAGAGAAGAAACUAACGUCCGUGGGCGUGGCGUAGUGUUUGGCCAGAGCAAGGAGUGUGGGUAGCCAGCUACUGUACCAGGUGUCAGCAUGUUCACUGCUGAUGGAUUCCUGUUUCUCCAAUGGGAGUUUCUGAUGGCCACAACACUGUGUUGACAGAAGUGACAGAACCUUGGCGAGGGACAGCAAACAGCACCAGGACAGAGCCUCUGCAGACGCCAACAGGCACUGACUACUUAGUAUUUUCACUAUGGUAUUUUAUGAGAGACUAUGAUGUACAAAUCAAUAUGCACAAAAUGAAAUGACAUAAAAUUAAUAUUAUUUUUAUUGUAUACUCCUAUUAGAGGAUGCCAACCUUGCUAUCAGCAUGAGGAUAUCUGCGGGUGCAGAGGGAGAUAAUAUAUCUAGCUGUUCUAUUAUCAUGAUCCAGACACUGUAUGUUUGUUAACAGCUAUACUAUUUCUUAAAUAUUAAACUGUAAGAGUGUGGACUAGAUGAUCAGAUCUUUAAUGAACAAAAAUAUAAACGAAACAUGCAACAAUUUCUAAGAUUUUACUGGAGGCGGCUUAUGGUUGGAGGCGGCUUAUGGUAGAAGCUCUGCUGGACAUUCCUGCAGCCAGCAUGCCAAUUGCACUCUCCCUCAAAACUUGAGACAUCUGUGGCAUUGUGUUGUGUGACAAAACUACACAUUUUAGAGUGGCCUUUUAUUGUCCCCAGCACAAGGUGCACCUGUGUAAUGAUCAUGCUGUUUAAUCAGCUUCUUAAUAUGCCACACCUGUCAGGUGGAUGGAUUAUCUUGGCAAAGGAGAAAUGCUCACUAACAAGGAUGUAAACAAAUUUGUGCACAGAAUUUGAGAGAAAUAAGCUUUUUGUGUGAAUGGAAAAUGUCUGGGACAUUUUAUUUCAGCUCAUGAAACAUGGAACCAACACUUUAAAUUUUGCUUUUAUAUUUUUGUUCAGUGUAUAUUAUUUCCAAUUUAUAUAAAGUUUGCCAAAUUAUUUUUUUAUCAUAAAAACUCAAACAUUGUUUUAAUGGCACUUUUCCAAAAACAUUGUAUCAAACACAGCCACAAUCGAGAAGUAUUGUUGUUGUGGAGUGGCAUAGGGAUUUAUUGUGACAGACCAGCUGCUAGUGUAAUUAUGCUGCAUGGCAUUGUGAGAUGCCUAACUAUCUGAGGUGGUUUAUUGCAUGAAUUUGAC
rnacentral:lncRNA from 1 species